rnacentral:rRNA from 1 species
GACGAACGCUGGCGGCGUGCUUAACACAUGCAAGUCGAGCGAUGAAACUCCUUCGGGAGUGGAUUAGCGGCGGACGGGUGAGUAACACGUGGGUAACCUGCCUCAUAGAGGGGAAUAGCCUUCCGAAAGGAAGAUUAAUACCGCAUAAGAUUGUAGUACCGCAUGGUACAGCAAUUAAAGGAGUAAUCCGCUAUGAGAUGGACCCGCGGCGCAUUAGCUAGUUGGUGAGGUAACGGCUCACCAAGGCGACGAUGCGUAGCCGACCUGAGAGGGCGAUCGGCCACAUUGGGACUGAGACACGGCCCAGACUCCUACGGGAGGCAGCAGUGGGGAAUAUUGCACAAUGGGGGAAACCCUGAUGCAGCAACGCCGCGUGAGUGAUGACGGUCUUCGGAUUGUAAAACUCUGUCUUCAGGGACGAUAAUGACGGUACCUGAGGAGGAAGCCACGGCUAACUACGUGCCAGCCGCCGCGGUAA